AACCUAGCACACCUGCGGUGUGUACCUGCGGAGGGAUCAUUACCGAGUGUGGUCCCAUAUAAGGGGCGCCUCCCGUCCUUUGCAGGGCCCUUAGGGGCUUUUUGACUUUGCUUCGGCGGGCUUGCCCCGCCGGAACACCCUCAAGAAAAUCUUUAUGAACCGUUUGUCUGAGUUGCUUGCGAAUAAAAACAAAACUUUCAACAAUGGAUCU
rnacentral:misc_RNA from 1 species